GACGAACGCUGGCGGCGUGCCUAAUACAUGCAAGUCGAGCGCGGGAAGCAGACUGAAUCCUUCGGGAGGACGUCUGUGGAACGAGCGGCGGACGGGUGAGUAACACGUGGGCAACCUGCCUGUAAGACUGGGAUAACUCCGGGAAACCGGGGCUAAUACCGGAUAACUCAUCGGAUCGCAUGAUCCGAUGUUGAAAGAUGGCUUCUUGCUAUCACUUACAGAUGGGCCCGCGGCGCAUUAGCUAGUUGGUGAGGUAACGGCUCACCAAGGCCACGAUGCGUAGCCGACCUGAGAGGGUGAUCGGCCACACUGGGACUGAGACACGGCCCAGACUCCUACGGGAGGCAGCAGUAGGGAAUCAUCCGCAAUGGACGAAAGUCUGACGGUGCAACGCCGCGUGAGUGAGGAAGGCCUUCGGGUCGUAAAACUCUGUUGUUAGGGAAGAACAAGUUCCGUUCGAAUAGGGCGGAGCCUUGACGGUACCUAACCAGAAAGCCACGGCUAACUACGUGCCAGCAGCCGCGGUAAUACGUAGGUGGCAAGCGUUGUCCGGAAUUAUUGGGCGUAAAGCGCGCGCAGGCGGUUCCUUAAGUCUGAUGUGAAAGCCCACGGCUCAACCGUGGAGGGUCAUUGGAAACUGGGGAACUUGA
rnacentral:rRNA from 1 species